rnacentral:rRNA from 1 species
UACGUAGGGGGCGAGCGUUGUCCGGAAUUAUUGGGCGUAAAGAGCUCGUAGGCGGUGUGUCGCGUCGGCCGUGAAAACCUGCAGCUUAACUGUGGGCUUGCGGUCGAUACGGGCAUCACUGGAGUUCGGCAGGGGAGACUGGAAUUCCUGGUGUAGCGGUGAAAUGCGCAGAUAUCAGGAAGAACACCCGUGGCGAAGGCGGCUCUCUGGAACGCAACUGACGCUGAGACGCGAAAGCGUGGGGAGCAAACAGG